rnacentral:rRNA from 1 species
AAAGAACCCACCAGGGAUUACCUCAGUAACGGCGAGUGAAGCGGUAACAGCUCAAAUUUGAAAUCUGGCCUCACGGUCCGAGUUGUAAUUUGUAGAGGAUGCUUCGAGCAUGGUCUGGCCUAAGUUCCUUGGAACAGGACGUCAUAGAGGGUGAGAAUCCCGUAUGCGGUCAGGUGCCUACGCUCAUGUGAAGCUCCUUCGACGAGUCGAGUUGUUUGGGAAUGCAGCUCAAAAUGGGUGGUAAAUUUCAUCUAAAGCUAAAUAUUGGCCAGAGACCGAUAGCGCACAAGUAGAGUGAUCGAAAGAUGAAAAGCACUUUGGAAAGAGAGUUAAACAGUACGUGAAAUUGUUGAAAGGGAAGCGCUUGCAACCAGACUUGCGCGCGGCCGAUCAUCCGGUGUUCUCACCGGUGCACUCGGCCGUGCUCAGGCCAGCAUCGGUUUCGGCGGUUGGAUAAAGGCCUCAGGAAUGUGGCUCCUCUCGGGGAGUGUUAUAGCCUGGGGUGCAAUGCAGCCUGCUGGGACCGAGGACCGCGCUUCGGCUAGGAUGCUGGCGU